AGGGUUUGAUUAUGGCUCAGAACGUACGCUGGCGGCACGCCUUAUACAUGCAAGUCGAACGGAGUAGCAAUACUCAGUGGCAGACGGGUGAGUAACAUGUGGGUAUCUUCCCUUUGGUGAGGAAUAACACGAGGAAACUUGUGCUAAUACCUCAUAAGUCUUUACGGAGAAAGCUUUAUGCGCCAUUGGAUGAGCCUGCACUUGAUUAGUUUGUUGGUGGGGUAAUGGCCUACCAAGACUUUGAUCAAUAGCUGAUUUGAGAGGAUGAUCAGCCACAUUGGGACUGAGACACGGCCCAAACUCCUACGGGAGGCAGCAGUAGGGAAUCUUGCACAAUGGAGGAAACUCUGAUGCAGCGAUGCCGCGUGAGUGAAGAAGGCCCUUGGGUUGUAAAGCUCUUUCGUCGGGGAAGAAAAUGACUGUACCCGAAUAAGAAGGUCCGGCUAACUUCGUGCCAGCAGCCGCGGUAAUUC
rnacentral:rRNA from 1 species